rnacentral:rRNA from 1 species
CAAUAGCGUAUAUUUAAGUUGCUGCAGUUAAAAAGCUCGUAGUUGGAUUUCGGGUGGGAAUGGCCGGUCCGCCGUUUCGGUGUGCACUUGCUACGCCCACCUUGCUGCCGGGGACGUGCUCUUGAGUUCACGCUCGGGACACGGAGUCGGCGAGGUUACUUUGAGUAAAUUAGAGUGUUCAAAGCAGGCCUACGCUCUGAAUACAAUAGCAUGGAAUAACACGAUAGGACUCUGGCCUAUCUUGUUGGUCUGUAGGACCGGAGUAAUGAUUAAGAGGGACAGUCGGGGGCAUUCGUAUUUCAUUGUCAGAGGUGAAAUUCUUGGAUUUAUGAAAGACGAACUACUGCGAAAGCAUUUGCCAAGGAUGUUUUCAUUAA